rnacentral:rRNA from 1 species
CUACGCACUCCUACGGGAGGCAGCAGUGGGGAAUAUUGCACAAUGGGCGCAAGCCUGGAUGCAGCCAUGCCGCGUGUAUGAAGAAGGCCUUCGGGUUGUAAAGUACUUUCAGCAGUGAGGAAGGUGGGUAUGUUAAUAGCAUACUCAUUUGACGUUAGCUGCAGAAGAAGCACCGGCUAACUCCGUGCCAGCAGCCGCGGUAAUACGGAGGGUGCGAGCGUUAAUCGGAAUUACUGGGCGUAAAGCGCAUGCAGGUGGUUUGUUAAGUCAGAUGUGAAAGCCCGGGGCUCAACCUCGGAAUUGCAUUUGAAACUGGCAAACUAGAGUACUGUAGAGGGGGUAGAAUUUCAGGUGUAGCGGUGAAAUGCGUAGAGAUCUGAAGGAAUACCGGUGGCGAAGGCGGCCCCCCUGGACAGAUACUGACACUCAGAUGCGAAAGCGUGGGGAGCAAACAGGAUUAGAUACCCUGGUAG